rnacentral:rRNA from 1 species
UACGUAGGGAGCAAGCGUUGUCCGGAAUUACUGGGCGUAAAGCGUGCGCAGGCGGUUUUGUAAGCCAGAUGUGAAAGCCCCGGGCUUAACCUGGGAAUGGCAUUUGGGACUGCAAGGCUUGAGUGCGGCAGAGGAGACUGGAAUUCCUGGUGUAGCAGUGAAAUGCGUAGAUAUCAGGAGGAAUACCGAUGGCGAAGGCAGGUCUCUGGGCUGACACUGACGCUCAUGCACGAAAGCGUGGGGAGCAAACAGG